GACGAACGCUGGCGGCGUGCCUAAUACAUGCAAGUUGAGCGCUGAAGGUUGGUACUUGUACCAACUGGAUGAGCAGCGAACGGGUGAGUAACGCGUGGGGAAUCUGCCUUUGAGCGGGGGACAACAGUUGGAAACGAAUGCUAAUACCGCAUAAAAACUUUAAACACAAGUUUUAAGUUUGAAAGAUGCAAUUGCAUCACUCAAAGAUGAUCCCGCGUUGUAUUAGCUAGUUGGUGAGGUAAAGGCUCACCAAGGCGAUGAUACAUAGCCGACCUGAGAGGGUGAUCGGCCACAUUGGGACUGAGACACGGCCCAAACUCCUACGGGAGGCAGCAGUAGGGAAUCUUCGGCAAUGGACGAAAGUCUGACCGAGCAACGCCGCGUGAGUGAAGAAGGUUUUCGGAUCGUAAAACUCUGUUGGUAGAGAAGAACGUUGGUGAGAGUGGAAAGCUCAUCAAGUGACGGUAACUACCCAGAAAGGGACGGCUAACUACGUG
rnacentral:rRNA from 1 species